UACGUAGGGUGCGAGCGUUAAUCGGAAUUACUGGGCGUAAAGCGUGCGCAGGCGGUUUCGUAAGCCAGAUGUGAAAUCCCCGGGCUUAACCUGGGAAUGGCAUUUGGGACUGCAAGGCUUGAGUGCGGCAGAGGAGACUGGAAUUCCUGGUGUAGCAGUGAAAUGCGUAGAUAUCAGGAGGAACACCGAUGGCGAAGGCAGGUCUCUGGGCUGACACUGACGCUCAUGCACGAAAGCGUGGGGAGCAAACAGG
rnacentral:rRNA from 1 species